UCCGCGUGAGUGAAGAAGGCCUUCGGGUUGUAAAGCUCUUUCGCAAGGGAAGAAAACUUACAUUCUAAUAAAGUGUGAGGCUGACGGUACCUUGAUAAGAAGCACCGGCUAACUACGUGCCAGCAGCCGCGGUAAUACGUAGGGUGCGAGCGUUAAUCGGAAUUACUGGGCGUAAAGCGUGCGCAGGCGGUUUUGUAAGUCAGAUGUGAAAUCCCCGAGCUC
rnacentral:rRNA from 1 species